GAUCGAGUUGUAAUUUGAAGAAGCGUUUUCUGCGUAUUUGAUCAGCCUAAGUCCUAUUGAAUGAGGCAUCACGGAGGGUGAUAAUCCCGUCCGGUUGAUCAUUUGCGUUUUACGAUACGCUUUCUAAGAGUCAAGUUGUUUGGGAUUGCAGCUUAAAAUGGGAGGUAAAUUUCUUCCUAAGGCUAAAUAAACGGCGAGAGACCGAUAGCGAACAAGUACC
rnacentral:rRNA from 1 species